rnacentral:rRNA from 1 species
AGAGUUUGAUCCUGGCUCAGGACGAACGCUGGCGGCGUGCCUAAUACAUGCAAGUAGAACGCUGAAGAGAGGAGCUUGCUCUUCUUGGAUGAGUUGCGAACGGGUGAGUAACGCGUAGGUAACCUGCCUGGUAGCGGGGGAUAACUAUUGGAAACGAUAGCUAAUACCGCAUAAAAUUGAUUAUUGCAUGAUAAUUAAUUGAAAGAUGCAAUUGCAUCACUACCAGAUGGACCUGCGUUGUAUUAGCUAGUUGGUGAGGUAACGGCUCACCAAGGCGACGAUACAUAGCCGACCUGAGAGGGUGAUCGGCCACACUGGGACUGAGACACGGCCCAGACUCCUACGGGAGGCAGCAGUAGGGAAUCUUCGGCAAUGGACGGAAGUCUGACCGAGCAACGCCGCGUGAGUGAAGAAGGUUUUCGGAUCGUAAAGCUCUGUUGUAAGAGAAGAACGGGUGUGAGAGUGGAAAGUUCACACUGUGACGGUAUCUUACCAGAAAGGGACGGCUAACUACGUGCCAGCAGCCGCGGUAAUACGUAGGUCCCGAGCGUUGUCCGGAUUUAUUGGGCGUAAAGCGAGCGCAGGCGGUUAGAUAAGUCUGAAGUUAAAGGCUGUGGCUUAACCAUAGUACGCUUUGGAAACUGUUUAACUUGAGUGCAGAAGGGGAGAGUGGAAUUCCAUGUGUAGCGGUGAAAUGCGUAGAUAUAUGGAGGAACACCAGUGGCGAAGGCGACUCUCUGGUCUGUAACUGACGCUGAGGCUCGAAAGCGUGGGUAGCAAACAGGAUUAGAUACCCUGGUAGUCCACGCCGUAAACGAUGAGUGCUAAGUGUUGGAGGGUUUCCGCCCUUCAGUGCUGCAGUUAACGCAUUAAGCACUCCGCCUGGGGAGUACGACCGCAAGGUUGAAACUCAAAGGAAUUGACGGGGGCCCG